CCUACGGGUGGCAGCAGUGGGGAAUAUUGGGCAAUGGGCGCAAGCCUGACCCAGCAACGCCGCGUGAAUGAAGAAGGCUUUCGGGUUGUAAACUUCUAUUAAGAGGGAAGAGCAGGAGACGGUACCUCUUGAAUAAGCCACGGCUAACUACGCGCCAGCAGCAGCGGUAAUACGUAGGGGGCAAGCGUUGUCCGGAUUUACUGGGUGUAAAGGGCGUGCAGCCGGGAAGACAAGUCAGAUGUGAAAUCCGGGGGCUCAACCCCCGAACUGCAUUUGAAACUGUUGGUCUGGAGUGUAGGAGAGGCAAGCGGAAUUCCUAGUGUAGCGGUGAAAUGCGUAGAUAUUAGGAGGAACACCAGUGGCGAAGGCGGCCUGCUGGACGACAACUGACGGUGAGGCGCGAAAGCGUGGGGAGCAAACAGGAUUAGAUACCCUUGUAGUC
rnacentral:rRNA from 1 species